rnacentral:rRNA from 1 species
GACGAACGCUGGCGGCGUGCCUAAUACAUGCAAGUCGAACGAACUCUGGUAUUGAUUGGUGCUUGCAUCAUGAUUUACAUUUGAGUGAGUGGCGAACUGGUGAGUAACACGUGGGAAACCUGCCCAGAAGCGGGGGAUAACACCUGGAAACAGAUGCUAAUACCGCAUAACAACUUGGACCGCAUGGUCCGAGCUUGAAAGAUGGCUUCAGCUAUCACUUUUGGAUGGUCCCGCGGCGUAUUAGCUAGAUGGUGGGGUAACGGCUCACCAUGGCAAUGAUACGUAGCCGACCUGAGAGGGUAAUCGGCCACAUUGGGACUGAGACACGGCCCAAACUCCUACGGGAGGCAGCAGUAGGGAAUCUUCCACAAUGGACGAAAGUCUGAUGGAGCAACGCCGCGUGAGUGAAGAAGGGUUUCGGCUCGUAAAACUCUGUUGUUAAAGAAGAACAUAUCUGAGAGUAACUGUUCAGGUAUUGACGGUAUUUAACCAGAAAGCCACGGCUAACUACGUGCCAGCAGCCGCGGUAAUACGUAGGUGGCAAGCGUUGUCCGGAUUUAUUGGGCGUAAAGCGAGCGCAGGCGGUUUUUUAAGUCUGAUGUGAAAGCCUUCGGCUCAACCGAAGAAGUGCAUCGGAAACUGGGAAACUUGAGUGCAGAAGAGGACAGUGGAACUCCAUGUGUAGCGGUGAAAUGCGUAGAUAUAUAGAAGAACACCAGUGGCGAAGGCGGCUGUCUGGUCUGUAACUGACGCUGAGGCUCGAAAGUAUGGGUAGCAAACAGGAUUAGAUACCCUGGUAGUCCAUACCGUAAACGAUGAAUGCUAAGUGUUGGAGGGUUUCCGCCCUUCAGUGCUGCAGCUAACGCAUUAAGCAUUCCGCCUGGGGAGUACGGCCGCAAGGCUGAAACUCAAAGGAAUUGACGGGGGCCCGCACAAGCGGUGGAGCAUGUGGUUUAAUUCGAAGCUACGCGAAGAACCUUACCAGGUCUUGACAUACUAUGCAAAUCUAAGAGAUUAGACGUUCCCUUCGGGGACAUGGAUACAGGUGGUGCAUGGUUGUCGUCAGCUCGUGUCGUGAGAUGUUGGGUUAAGUCCCGCAACGAGCGCAACCCUUAUUAUCAGUUGCCAGCAUUAAGUUGGGCACUCUGGUGAGACUGCCGGUGACAAACCGGAGGAAGGUGGGGAUGACGUCAAAUCAUCAUGCCCCUUAUGACCUGGGCUACACACGUGCUACAAUGGAUGGUACAACGAGUUGCGAACUCGCGAGAGUAAGCUAAUCUCUUAAAGCCAUUCUCAGUUCGGAUUGUAGGCUGCAACUCGCCUACAUGAAGUCGGAAUCGCUAGUAAUCGCGGAUCAGCAUGCCGCGGUGAAUACGUUCCCGGGCCUUGUACACACCGCCCGUCACACCAUGAGAGUUUGUAACACCCAAAGUCGGUGGGGUAACCUUUUAGGAACCAGCCGCCUAAGGUGGGACAGAUGAUUAGGGUG